UACGUAGGGUGCAAGCGUUAAUCGGAAUUACUGGGCGUAAAGCGUGCGCAGGCGGUUUUGUAAGUCUGUCGUGAAAUCCCCGGGCUUAACCUGGGAAUGGCGAUGGAGACUGCAAGGCUAGAGUUUGGCAGAGGGGGGUAGAAUUCCACGUGUAGCAGUGAAAUGCGUAGAGAUGUGGAGGAACACCGGUGGCGAAGGCGGCAUCCUGGACCGACACUGACGCUGAGGAGCGAAAGCCAGGGGAGCAAACGGG
rnacentral:rRNA from 1 species